GAUGUCAUCUGUGAAACCCCAUGGAUGUGUUCCGGAGUACAAAUCAGGAAUGGUAGUUACUUUGAGGUCCCAUCCAGACCUCUGAAGUUGAACAAGGGAGAUAAGUACCUUUAAAAGAAGAAGAAGAAGAAGAAAAGAAUAAGAAGAAGAGG